CAGUCGCCACGGGAAUACAGAGGGUGCGAGCGUUAAUCGGAUUUACUGGGCGUAAAGCGUGCGUAGGCGGCUUCUUAAGUCGGAUGUGAAAUCCCUGAGCUUAACUUAGGAAUUGCAUUCGAUACUGGGAAGCUAGAGUAUGGGAGAGGAUGGUAGAAUUCCAGGUGUAGCGGUGAAAUGCGUAGAGAUCUGGAUGAAUACCGAUGGCGAAGGCAGCCAUCUGGCCUAAUACUGACGCUGAGGUACGAAAGCAUGGGGAGCAAACAGGAUUAGAUACCCCGUAGUCCCUGUCUCUUAUACC
rnacentral:rRNA from 1 species